UACGGGGGGGGCAAGCGUUGUUCGGAAUUACUGGGCGUAAAGGGUUCGUAGGUGGCCAACUCAGUCAGACGUGAAAUCCCUCAGCUCAACUGGGGAACUGCGUCUGAUACUGGAUGGCUCGAGUGCAGGAGAGGAACGCGGAAUUUCAGGUGUAGCGGUGAAAUGCGUAGAUAUCUGGAGGAACACCGGUGGCGAAGGCGGCGUUCUGGACUGCAACUGACACUGAGGAACGAAAGCCAGGGGAGCAAACGGG
rnacentral:rRNA from 1 species